AUUGAACGCUUGCGGCAGGCUUAACACCUGCAAGUCGAGCGGGGUGAUGGUGCUUGCACUAUCACUUAGCGGCGGACGGGUGAGUAAUGCUUAGGAAUCUGCCUAUUAGUGGGGGACAACAUCUCUAAAGGGAUGCUAAUACCGCAUACGUCCUACGGGAGAAAGCAGGGGAUCACUUGUGACCUUGCGCUAAUAGAUGAGCCUACGUCGGCUUAGCUAGUUGGUGGGGUAAAGGCCUACCAAGGCGACGAUCUGUAGCGGGUCUGAGAGGAUGAGCCGCCACACUGUGAAGUUGACACGGCCCAGAUUCAUACGGGAGGCAGCAGUGGGGAAUAUUAGACAAUGGGGGGAACCCUGAUCCAGCCAUGCCGCGUGUGGGAAGAAGGCCUUAUGGUUGUAAAGCACUUUAAGCGAGGAGGAGGCUCUUUUGGUUAAUACCCAAGAUGAGUGGACGUUACUCGCAGAGUAAGCACCGGCUAAGUCUGUGCCAGCAGCCGCGGUAA
rnacentral:rRNA from 1 species